ensembl:snRNA U6 U6 spliceosomal RNA
GUGCUCACUUUGGCAGCACAUAUACUAAAACUGGAAUGAUCCGGAGAUUAACAUGGUCCCUGUGCAAAGAUGACGUGCAAAUUCCUGAAGCGUUCCAUAUUUUU